rfam:[Clostridium] hungatei strain DSM 14427 CLHTN_contig000032, whole genome shotgun sequence.
UGUGUAUAUUAAAAAAUAUCCCGUAUAUUCUCGGUGAUAUGGUCCGAAAGUUUCUACGAAGCCGCCGUAAAUGGCUUUGCUACGGGUGUUCAUCUUUGACAU